rnacentral:misc_RNA from 1 species
GAGGAAAGUCCGGGCUCCACGGAAACACGGUGCCGGAUAACGUCCGGCGGGGGCGACCCCAGGGAAAGUGCCACAGAAAGGAUACCGCCCCGCCUGCUGUCCCGCUCCCAUCGAGCGGCAGAGCUGGCGGGGUAAGGGUGAAAGGGUGGGGUAAGAGCCCACCGCGUCGCUGGCGACAGGGACGGCAUGGUAAACCCCACCGGGAGCAAGACCGAAUAGGGAUGACGUGGGGCGCGCAAGCGCCUACAGCCGGUUUCCAGGCCAGUCAUCCGGGUGGGUUGCGCGAGGCGAUGUGCAAGCAUCGCCCCAGAUGA